rnacentral:rRNA from 1 species
CAGUGGAUUUUUUUCUAAACGGCCGCGGUAUCUUGACCGUGCAAAGGUAGCAUAAUCAUUUGUCUCUUAAAUGGGGACUUGUAUGAAUGGCUUUUCAUUCUUCAGCUGUCUCCCUUUCUCCCCGUUAAAACUUCUUUUCACGUGAAGAAGCGUGAUUAAAUAAGUUAGACGAGAAGACCCUGUCGAGCUUUAGCUAACUAUAAAAUACUCUUAGUUUUUUAAAAACAAUUAAAUAUUUAUUUUAAGCUUUGGUUGGGGCAACCAUGGAGAAAAAACAUCCUCCAGUUUUAAAUAAGAAGAAUACAAUUCACUUAACCUAAAAUUUUGAACCAGAACUUCUGGAAAACGGAAAAAGUUACCGCAGGGAUAACAGCGUUAUCUUCUCUAAGAGCUCAUAUUGACGAGAAGGAUUGCGACCUCGAUGUUGGAUUGGGGUAACCUAAGGGUGUAGCAGCUCUUUAAAGGUUGGACUGUUCGUCCAUUAAUUCCCUACGUGAUCU